rnacentral:rRNA from 1 species
AGUGUGUGUGUUAGUGGAAGCGUCUGGAAAGGCGUGCGAUACAGGGUGACAGCCCCGUACACAAAAAUGCACAUAUUGUGAGCUCGAUGAGUAGGGCGGGACACGUGGUAUCCUGUCUGAAUAUGGGGGGACCAUCCUCCAAGGCUAAAUACUCCUGACUGACCGAUAGUGAACCAGUACCGUGAGGGAAAGGCGAAAAGAACCCCGGCGAGGGGAGUGAAAAAGAACCUGAAACCGUGUACGUACAAGCAGUGGGAGCCUCUUAAUGGGGUGACUGCGUACCUUUUGUAUAAUGGGUCAGCGACUUAUAUUCUGUAGCAAGGUUAACCGAAUAGGGGAGCCGAAGGGAAACCGAGUCUUAACUGGGCGUUAAGUUGCAGGGUAUAGACCCGAAACCCGGUGAUCUAGCCAUGGGCAGGUUGAAGGUUGGGUAACACUAACUGGAGGACCGAACCGACUAAUGUUGAAAAAUUAGCGGAUGACUUGUGGCUGGGGGUGAAAGGCCAAUCAAACCGGGAGAUAGCUGGUUCUCCCCGAAAGCUAUUUAGGUAGCGCCUCGUGAAUUCAUCUCCGGGGGUAGAGCACUGUUUCGGCAAGGGGGUCAUCCCGACUUACCAACCCGAUGCAAACUGCGAAUACCGGAGAAUGUUAUCACGGGAGACACACGGCGGGUGCUAACGUCCGUCGUGAAGAGGGAAACAACCCAGACCGCCAGCUAAGGUCCCAAAGUCAUGGUUAAGUGGGAAACGAUGUGGGAAGGCCCAGACAGCCAGGAUGUUGGCUUAGAAGCAGCCAUCAUUUAAAGAAAGCGUAAUAGCUCACUGGUCGAGUCGGCCUGCGCGGAAGAUGUAACGGGGCUAAACCAUG